rnacentral:sRNA from 1 species
AUUUCCGAUGUCUCGACAUGACAAGGUGCCCUCCAUGGCUCUGUCGCCUUGGCAAUGGCCCGGCCCGGGCCCAAAUGUUGAAUCGAUAAUUGACACACAUUAACCGGGCACGUCUCGGUUAACUGACCUUGCCAGCUGCCACCCAACCAAAUGCAGCAUUCCAGGAUAAAAAGGCCCAGCUAAACUUGAAGCUUCGAAAUGUAGAGGCAGCAGGAAAGCAACUCAGCUACCAAACACAUCAAGAGCGAUAUAUCUAGACACUAGAUACAACAGAAGAACUGGAUUACCACGGAAUCAGGCGUAAAAGCAGCAGAAACCCAGCCGAGAUUAGUUUAUAUAUGUUAGCAUAACGUCUUAUUCACCAAUAUGAAAAAGAACAUCUAAUAAAACAGCC